rnacentral:lncRNA from 1 species
UCGUCAGUACUGUCUUAACUGCCGCCUUCGGACACGCAGAGCACCGGCCAAGAAAUCUCUCCCGCACGCGGUCCCGUCUCGCCCUGCUGCACCGGUGCAACCUCGAGCUCCCCCACAAGACCCUCUACUUUUCCUGCGAUCCAACCAUACUACUACUACAGGUUGUGUGCUAUACCGCGAGAGUACGUAGCGUGGCGGCUGCCGGCCCUCCAGCGCGGAACCAGCGGCGGCGGCGGUGGUGGCGAGCUCCGCAAGCGCGCGCGCGAGGGCCUUGGCCAGCACGCGGCGGCGGCGGCGAGCUCCGCACGCGCGGACGCGAGGGCCUCGGCCAGCACGCGGCGGCGGCGGCGAGCUCCGCACGCGCGGACGCGAGGGCCUCGGCCAGCACGCGGCGGCGGCGGCGAGCUCCACACGCGCGGACGCGAGGGCCUCGGCCAGCACGCGGCGGCGGUGGUGAGUUCCGCACGCGCGGGCGCGAGGGCCUCGGCCAGCACGCGGCGGCGGCGGCGAGCUCCACACCCGCGGGCGCGAGGGCCUCGGCCAGCACGCGGCGGCGGCGGUGAGCUCCCCACGCGCGGGCGCGAGGGCCUCGGCCAGCACGCGGCGGCGGCGGAGGUGGCGAGCUCCGCACGCGCGGGCGCGAGGGCCUUGGCCAGCACGCGGCGGUGGCGAGCUCCACACGUGCGCGCGCGAGGGCGGCGGCGGCGGCGGUGUCGAGCUCCGCACGCGCGAGCGCGAGGGCCUCGGCCACUGCACGCACGCGGCGGCAGCACGCGGAGGCGCUACUCGCUAGGCCAGCACGCACGGAGGUUCUCGGCAAGCACGCAAAGGCGCUAGGCCAGCACGCACGGCUGCACGCACGCGGCGGCAGCACGCAGAGGCGCUAGGCCAGCACGCACGGCUGCACGUACGCGGCGGCAGCACGCACGGCCGGCCCAUAGGGGCCGGACACUGUCGGGGUUGUCCGUCUAGACAUUUAGGAAUAGGGAUCCGGAUAUAGAUGCUCCAAGUCGAUUUUCACAGUGAAACGGUUCUCUCCUAAUUUCUUGCUUCUUUGUUUUUUGUGGAUUGUUUACUUAUCGCCUUUUGUAUUCGAUUCGAUCUCACCUUCAUCUCAUGUUUUGUAAACAGAUCCUCCUUGCCGUGCCAUGGCACGGCCAGCGUCCCUCGACUGUGAUUCUGACGACUAUGACUCCGACUCCGGCUAUGCUUCCGGUGACGAAACUCGGCCUAAUAAGCGUCUUGUGUAUGAUUCUGAUGGAGGACUCUACAUUGAUGAUGAUGAUGAUGACGACGACAACGAUGACGACAUCGACGACGAGGAGGAUGAAUAGAAAGCCACGUAACAGCUGGUAAUGUUUUGAUCUCUGAUCAUUCCUUCAUUUUCUAUAAGUUCGUGUUGGUACUCAUCGCUAUGAUUAUGAACAUAAUUUGCAGUUUCCUUCGUUCUUCUAAAAAAGUUCACAUCGGUAGUCUGAUCGCAAUGAAUAUGAAGAUAAUUUGCAGUUUCCUUCACUAUGAAGAUUAAUCGAUCUUAGUAUUGAACUGAAAAUUUUACAUUAUUCUAGUGUCGAGGAAAGCUGCGAGAGAUUUGGUUAAUUCCGUGUCUGUUCCUUUGAAAGUAAGGGGACUGGUGUGAACUGUGAAUAUUUUAGUGCAGUUUGUCCUUUCCGCUUAUUUGUUCAUCAUCAGGAACCAUUAGAGUUCUAUAUAUCCAACUUCGUGAGUUUUUUUCGAAUUAAGGAGCUUUCGCUCCUGAUUUCAUUUAAUUGAAAAGGAAUUACUCCUACCUAGUAGUGAGCUGAGGGUGAUGUUUCACUUUAUUAAAAAGGACGAGAUCAACCACGGUCCAUGGUACCUUUCUAUAUAAGGAAAGCGGAGUAUCAUGAAUGGACUGAUUAGAUAGGGACAUGCACAAGUCAGACUUCAAACAAAAGACCUGGUGUUUGGUCUGACCAAAUUUGUCAAGUCGCUCGCUCAUCGUUCUCGGUCUGGGCGGGCAGCUUCGUGGACCUCCUGAGAUCUUGCGUCCCGUCACUUCGCCUAUGCUUUCUUUUCAUUGAUAUAAUAAACCUGGUCUGUUAGGUUAGUAUGAAUGCCAGUUUUGUUUGGCCUGGGUGCUGUUUUGUCUUGCUUGCUUCUGCACAUAUUUUCUGUUUGGAUUUUACUCGCAGCCACGCUUGUGCACUUGCAAUUUAAUUUGUGCCUUCUUGGCGGUUUCUAGCACGAAACUAGUACUAGUAUUCAUUAUUAAACGACACCCAUUUUGGUGCUUGCAUGGAAGAAAAAAGGAAUACUUUCGAAACUGUAUUCUUGAAAAUUCCUAUGCUUCAGCUAGGUGGAAAUUCCUCGAGCUUGUCUUCAAUUCGCAAGGUUUUAAUUUGCUGCUAGUGUAUACUGUAAGCGCUGACCAUGGUUCUUGUGUUGUGGCAGGGAGGCUGGCAUGGCAUGAAGAGGCCAGCAGAAGCAGUUACGGAGUGCAAGUCUAGCUAGUGGCAGAAAUGUUGUUUUUGUAAAUAUGUUUGCUUGUGUGAUGAGACCAAAUGUAAAUGUAUUGAUGUGAUUGAACUAACUGUUAGCGUUUUACUACAUAAGAAGGCACUGUCAGCAUUUGAUACCCCUCCUUUUUGCUCCAGCUCUUUGCUUAAAUCGCUGAACUGUUUGCGUAAGCUAUCCUGCAGCGCUUCGUCAUUGAUAUUUCAGAGUUCACUGCUGAGUUGCAUAAUGUGGAAAGCAGAGAUACAUUGCAGACAAACAAUAGAAUGAAAAUA